GGGAGGCAGCAGUGGGUAAUUUUGCACAAGGCAGGAAACCGGAACCCAGCCAUCCCGCGUGUAUGAUGAAGGCCUUCGGGUUGGAAAGUUCUUUUGGCCGAGAAGAAAAGGUGUCCCGUAUUACGGGAUUCCGCUGACGUUAUCUGCACAAUACGCCCCGGCUAACAACGUGCCCCCCGCCGCGG
rnacentral:rRNA from 1 species